UUUCCUUCUCUGUUUCUUCCCGAAACGUCCCCUCUGUCCUUCCUUUUCCUUCUCUGCUUCUCUCCUCCCGCGACGAGGGAAAGGGGAGAUCCCCCUUUUCUUCUCCUUUCUUCUCUCGCGAAGGGAGGAGGGCGAGCUCCCCCUCACGGGAGGGGUCGGGCCGCGGCCGCGCUUGCGGCGGCCGGCCCCCCUCUUCUCCCCGCGGAGAAGAGGGAUGCUCGGGAGGGGGGCGACCCGAGGCCGGCGACGCCGCGAUCAAGGAUCCACCGGCUAGAUCUAAUCUAACAGAGCAUGAAUAAAGGGAUCAAGGGCUUACUUAGCUCCGAGGGGGAGAUGUGGAACUUCUUCCGGCAGCUUGGGCCGCUACCUCCGGCAGCUCGGCAGCAGCAGUGGCGAGCUGAGAGCGCUCUCUCUGACGGCUCGGUGGCGGAUCCGAGUGGUCUGCUGCCGCUGGGAGAAAAGAAGAGAAGAAGGCGGUGAGAGAGGUGAUGAAGCCCUCGGUGAGGGAUCUGUGGGUUUUUCUAACCCUCUGCGGGAAGAAGUGGAGAAGAGGUCGUGAUGUCUCCGCACCGUAACACACGAGCAGAGGAUCGCGUUCGCGACUUCAGCUCUUUUUUUAUUUUUUAUUAUUUUUAUUUUUGGUACAUCAGCUGCACACACUGCUUGUGUACAACCAACUACAUCACUAACCAGCGGAGGAUCGACAGAAUAUUUUCAGUGUGAUGAGCAACGACCUGCAUCUUGGUUCGUCUUCCGAAAGACAUGCCUAAUCUGGAAGAUGUUUGAGAGAGCAACCUAUUUAGCAUUCAGAAGAUAUUAGGCCCACCUUCGCGAAAUAUUUGGCAAAUUUUUUGUACCGCCAAUCGCAGUGGAGAACAUUAUCUUUGGUCUGCAACUACUUUAGCUUAAUUAUAAUUUGUUACUCUGCCAGGCUAUGAGUUCGGAGGUCGAUAGCUGAUCCCAAGAAUGCAACUCUACCAUUAUUGAAACCUUCGGGCUUUGUAACUAUAUAAAUUCAUUAUAAAAUUUCAACAAGUUGAUUCACGGAUACAUGUAGAAUGCUUUCCUCCCUCCCUCCUUCCAUCCAUCCUCUGCUUAAUGCCCUCAUCUAGGUUGCGAGAACGGUCACAGUAAGCAGUAGUAGAGGCCAUCUUAAAGAAUGAAUUGAAAGGUCAUGAUGUAUUUGAACAUAAUUUUACUUCUAUAAGGAUCAAUAAAGGUUCAAUUGAACAGAAG